ACGAGGGGUGCGAGCGUUAUUCGGAAUUAUUGGGCGUAAAGGGCGCGUAGGCGGCUUGGCAAGUGGAUGGUGAAAUCCCUCGGCUUAACCGAGGAACUGCCGUCCAAACUGCUUUGCUUGAGACCGGGAGAGGUGAGUGGAAUUCCCAGUGUAGCGGUGAAAUGCGUAGAUAUUGGGAGGAACACCAGUGGCGAAGGCGGCUCACUGGACCGGUACUGACGCUGAGGCGCGAAAGCGUGGGGAGCAAACAGGA
rnacentral:rRNA from 1 species